AUGGUUCCACCUAUUUGUCGAAGUUGAUCUGUGGCAGGUGAAGGAGACAAAGACCUGGCCUCCUGGGCUAGGAAGGUUCCCCAUCCUUACCCUAGGUUAGAAGAUGGGCUCUCUCACAUUCUUCAUCAGCCUAACACAGACCUCAUAAGCCUCCAGGUUAGAAUUAUAUAUAAAGCCUGAGUUGGUUACUGGUACCAUCACUCACCUUGCCAGCUAGACAAAGGAGGAGAUAGUAUCUAGUGUGUACUCACAACUGCAGCUUUCUAGAAGGUCCUGAGUGGUCUGUGCAGACAAAAUCCCACAGAAAGAAUUCAUGAUGGUGAAAGGGAGAAAUUAAUGCUGAAGUAAGUAGGGGGAUAACAGAAACAUCUGGGUAUAAAAGACAAGAGCGGGAAGGCACUGGGGGAGACAGCUGGGUAGAAAGAAAGAAAGCAUGUCUGGCUGCAACAUGGUUGAAUCCUGCUGCAAGGCAGGGUCAUACUUCCUGUAGCUGGAAUGACAGGGCAUCUGAUAGGUAAUGGCUGUAUCGCUGGAGAAAGAGGGCCAUAUCUGAUCUUAGUAGUCAGAGCAGUCCCACUAAAAUUUAGAAACAUGAAUACCUUAGGUCUAUUAAUUUCAGUGCAUGUAGUGUUAGUACGAUACAGCCCAGAUGGGAGUUUUCAUUUCAGAGAAUCGGAGGCAUUCUAGAGGAAGGAUCAUUGGGUGUGGUGCAAAUGCUUGUCCUGCUUUUUCCUUUUGGGAAACAGGUUUGACAGGGAUUUUGCAUUGUUUCAAAAAUCUGUCAAAUGUGUUUGACAAGAGGUGACAGCAGGACAAAAGAAAUAGGAAUGCAUGCCAUGGGAAAAAGUUCUCUCUCAAACCACUCCAUUUUCUUUUAAAAAAUAGUGUCCAGCCCAGGUUUUCACAUCUAAAUGAUUCUCUUUUACCAAACCAUGACAGUUUCCAAUCCCUGCUGGAAAAGGAAUCCCAAAUCAGAAAAUGAAGAGGCCGUUUUAACCCAGCACAUGCCUGUGUGACAUCGUAUCCAGCUCUUGCCAGGAUUACAUUCAUCGCGUUUCCGGAGCGUGAUUAUUUGCUGAAAAGACGUUAUCAGCUUUCCAAGUCAUGCUUGGCCUUUUCCCAGC